UCUGCAGGCAGUUUUGAGAUUGAGAUCAAUGGACAGCUAGUCUUCUCCACACUCGAAAGCGGUGGCUUCCCGUACACUGAAGAUGUGCUGGAUGCCGUCCAGAAAGCUUACGACAACAAACCCAUGGAGAAGAUCAGCAGAAGCCGCACCUCGUGCAUUAUCCUGUAACUCGUAGCUGCCUCGUCCUUCCCCUCAGCCUGUGCUCCUUUUUAUCGCAGUUUGUCCCCAGAACCCCCAGAUGACGCGGUUUUGAGAUCAGGCCAGAUAAAAUUAUACAAUUGCCCUUAUGGUUGUCCCACAUGUAAGCAUUUUGGGAUGUGGGAUCAUUCGGUUUCUGUUUUUUAAAAUUUAUAAACAUUGUUCUAAAAAGGUAAUUGUGGAUGGUUCUGCCUUCACUGUAACUGCAAACUAUAUUGGCUGUAAACUUUAUUGAUUUUGAUUAAUUUUGUGGCUGAUCCCUAUCCAGGUCUCCCCUCAAAUAUCCAGUUUCAUCCACUUCCUGUUCGCAUAGCUCGGGGUGUUAGCUGUAGUGAUAUCUAAACUCUUAUCUGUGAAUUAUAGUAAGAACCUAACCUUUGAACCUCAAGGUCAAUGCUGAUUGGCUUAGGCUUUGUUGUCGUCUCUCCACCUUUGUCACAUUGGCAGGUCAAGCCCUUAAUGAUGACUAAGCCGAAAUUC